UACGUAGGGUGCGAGCGUUGUCCGGAAUUAUUGGGCGUAAAGAGCUCGUAGGCGGCUUGUCGCGUCGGAUGUGAAAGCCCGGGGCUUAACUCCGGGUCUGCAUUCGAUACGGGCAGGCUAGAGUUCGGUAGGGGAGAUCGGAAUUCCUGGUGUAGCGGUGAAAUGCGCAGAUAUCAGGAGGAACACCGGUGGCGAAAGCGGCUCUCUGGGACGGUACUGACGCUGAGACGCGAAAGCGUGGGGAGCAAACAGG
rnacentral:rRNA from 1 species